CCUCAAAUGCUUUAAAGACCCAAUCCUUUUCAGCGGUGGCUCAAAUGUGGAAUCUGACAAGUCCAACGUCCGCAAAUAUUUCAAUCUUGACAAACAUAAAUCCAAGGCUGAUUGACUGUUUUCCUCAGUUAUCAUAAAUACAGCAGUUCGCACUUGCUCUAAAUAUUGUAAGAGGGUGGAAAGACCAUGUGGAAGCGAAGUAAAGCCGGGAAAUAACAGAUGGCGGACACUCUUU
rnacentral:misc_RNA from 1 species